GUGCUAAGUGGUGUUUAGUGGGCGUGUACCUCUCCAGGUGCUAAGUGGUGUUUAGUGGGCGUGUACCUCUCCAGGUGCUAAGUGGUGUUUAGUGGGCGUGUACCUCUCCAGGUGCUAAGUGGUGUUUAGUGGGCGUGUACCUCUCCAGGUGCUAAGUGGUGUUUAGUGGGCGUAUAUAACUCCAGGUGCUAAGUGGUGUUUAGUGGGCGUGUACCUCUCCAGGUGCUAAGUGGUGUUUAGUGGGCGUGUACAGGUGCUAAGUGGUGUUUAGUGGGCGUAUAUAACUCCAGGUGCUAAGUGGUGUUUAGUGGGCGUGUACCUCUCCAGGUGCUAAGUGGUGUUUAGUGGGCGUGUACCUCUCCAGGUGCAUAUUGUCACUUCUCAGCACGUUCCUGCCGCGUCACAGAGGUGAACUGGACUGCUGGAC
ensembl:lncRNA